rnacentral:rRNA from 1 species
UACGGGGGGGGGCAAGCGUUGUUCGGAAUUACUGGGCGUAAAGCGCACGUAGGCGGCUUUGUAAGUUAGAGGUGAAAGCCCGGGGCUCAACUCCGGAAUUGCCUUUAAGACUGCAUCGCUAGAAUUGUGGAGAGGUAAGUGGAAUUCCGAGUGUAGAGGUGAAAUUCGUAGAUAUUCGGAAGAACACCAGUGGCGAAGGCGACUUACUGGACACAUAUUGACGCUGAGGUGCGAAAGCGUGGGGAGCAAACAGG